rnacentral:rRNA from 1 species
UACGAAGGGGGCUAGCGUUGCUCGGAAUUACUGGGCGUAAAGCGCACGUAGGCGGCUUUCUAAGUCGGGGGUGAAAUCCUGGAGCUCAACUCCAGAACUGCCUUCGAUACUGGAGAGCUCGAGUCCGGGAGAGGUGAGUGGAACUGCGAGUGUAGAGGUGAAAUUCGUAGAUAUUCGCAAGAACACCAGUGGCGAAGGCGGCUUACUGGUCCGGUUCUGACGCUGAGGCGCGAAAGCGUGGGGAGCAAACAGG